ensembl:lncRNA
UCUUAACACUGUGAGUCAUUAUUGAUCCCAAAUUAAGAAGUUAAAUGUAAACAUUCAGAAGAUAGCCAAAAACAAGUAAGUAUAAAAUUCAUUUCUGGAUGAGAAAAGAUGUACAAAUUUAUAAUGUUUAAAACAAGAAAAAAGAAAAUAUUAUUAGAUUUUACAAAAUAAAAAAAAAACUACACACUUAGAAACAUUCACCAACUUACAAGGCAAAAUCAAACUAAAAACACAUUUUCAACAAAAGUUCAGUAUCCUAAAUAUAAUUCCAUCUUCUUCCAUCUACCUCACUCAUAUUUUCAUUGAACGCCACCUAUACAGAUGAUAAAACUGAGGCCUAGAAAUGAUAAGCAACUGUUACAAGAUCACUUAGGGCAGCAAAUGUUAAACCAACUCAGACCUCAGAUGGGGAUUCUGCCUCUUUUUUGCUGUCUUUAUAAUGAGAAUUUUGGAUUAGAGAUUACUGACAUUGCCUUCCAAAUUUAAACCAAUGAUUUACAGCAACACCAUGCUCCAUUCACGAGGUGAGACAGAGGAAAAAUGCAAACACUGAAAUUCGGUUGGAACUGAACUGAAUGAAAGGGGAAAAAAUCCCCUCUUUACAAUUAUGAGACUUAUUAGUAUUUUUCCUAAAUGUAACAUCCAGAUGUAAUCGGCUAUGUCUUUUUCAAAAAAUAUUUUUAGUGCUACAAAACUUUUUUUACAGAAUGACUGUAAAAGCAGUUAAUUUCUGUAUAAUUUUCAAAAUUACACUUGGGGUCUGGACUAAGUGGAUCUUGAGAUCAAUAAAAAGUCUGGGACUGUUGCCUCUGAAACAGCCUAGGAAGGUGGCCCUUUUAACAUCUGUCAUGCUUAGCACUUAGGAGAUGACCUGAUCCUUUAAAGAAACCUCUCUUUUAUUAUUCAGUCUUCAAAGCGUUAAGUGAAUUUGUCUGGGUUCAUUAUACACCUUCUAGCUCCUAACUUCUCCAACACUUCUCAACAAUCAGUUCUGACUACAUUCAUUUCAAUUUGUCUACUCUUUUCCAACUGUUUUUCACUAAGUUAAAUUGUCCAAAUUCUCUUUCUCUUCUUCGGAGGUUUUUAGUACUGCUAACAUCUGAGAUAUACAACAUUUUUAUGACCCUGUCUCUAUUCACAUGAGCCAUUACCAGGAUGCCUUCAUAAAUACUUUCCUGCACAAUUACAUAAAGGACACGAG